CGCGCCCCCGUCGGGGCUCCGGGCAGGGGGAGCCUCUGAAGCGCUUCGUUCCCCCUCGCUGGCGAAGGGAAUGGUGCCGGCAGAGAAAAGAGCGGCAGCGGAUUGUACCCCGCGGCUUUGCGGCGGCACCGCUUUUCCCGGGGAGAAAAAAGCAAACGGCAAAGGGAAUGGGCAGAUCUCCCCCAGGGGACCCGUGGGGACGGGUCCCCGGGCCGGAGGGGAAAAGAGGAGUCAGCUCUUUGCCCCACAUCUUGGGGAAAGCCUUGGCUGUUGACGGGAAAGUCGCUGGGCGAUGCGGCCGAAGGGAGGAUAGCGAAAGGCAAGCGGUGGGAACGGCACAGCCCUCGUUUUGAUUUUUUUUCCUAAGACUUAAAGCAUUCAACACGUUGUUCCAACACGUUCUGGGGUGGCGAAAUCGUGUCCCCACCUUUGGGGGAUGCCGGGGCGACGGGAGACACCCCCGUUUUCCCAUCGCCGGUGUGCCCGUCGGUGUGCCAAGCGCUGGUGUCCCGGCACGGCGCCGUCGGAGCCGGCUCUGGGCGCACGGCCCGACCCCACGGGCUGGAAACGGAGGGACCCGGCACCCCUCUGCCGGAGCCCACCUACGCCCGGUCCCCUCGAGGCCCCUCCGCUCCACCAGGGCAGGACGGGACGGCUCCGUGACGGGGAGUCCCGUCCGGGAGAAAAGCCCCCAGCCCGGGGCCGCGGGGAGCCGUGUGUCCUGGGGAGGGACACUGCCGAUCCCCGUCUCUGUGCCCUUCCCAGAGGUGGGAAUAAAAGCUGGGAGCGAGGGGAAGACCCGCGUUCAGGGCUCCCGGCGGCGGGGAGAGCGCCUUGAGCCCCGUGCACCGCAGGCUGGCCAUGUCGUGGGUGCAGGUGUCCUCACAGCUUCUCUGGGGGGAACUGCUGCAGGCUGGGAGGGGGGGGGCCCAGAGAGGGCUCCCCGGAUCCUGGCAGCUCCCCCCGGUUGGCCCCCAACAGCUAGAGACCGCUCUCCCCGGCCCCUGGCGAUGCCGGUUCCAACGGGGAUAUUUGCACCCGAACAAGGGGCUCAUUACCGGGGCUUACACCUGUUGCGAGGCUCUGGGGUGGUUCGACGGGGAGGGGCGGACAGGGCCGGGGUUGAUUUGGGGACCGGGGGCUCACGUCCCCCUGCUGCCCCGUCCUCCGAGGUGCGCCGGGGCUGCGGGGCAGGGUGCGGGGCGGCCCAUCGCUCCCCGUGCGUGGGCAGAGGCGCGGGGCAGCCCCGGGGGGCCCGGGGCAG
rnacentral:lncRNA from 1 species